rnacentral:lncRNA from 1 species
UAUUUUUAAAAAAAUAAUUAUUUUCUCUUGACCUCCCAUUUAAAUUCUUUAAUUUAUCGUAAAGGACUUCUCAUGUGACGUCACACUGUACGGAACAUAGUUGUUGAACCGUUCCUUGUCGUUUAAUUCGUGUUCCGUGAGAGUUUGACGUUUUCCUCGCUGACUGUGGGAGGAAUGAGAGGCACUUGACCGGUGGCUGCGAGGUUGACAGGUUGGUGUUGGUGGUUAGUACCGUAAAUGGCGGUUAAUUUCUUCGAAAUUAAUUUUUAUUUCAACUAAGUUUGGAAGUAUAGUAAAAAGUUACCACCACUUGUUUCCUGGAGUACGUGUUUCCUGGAGUAAGGAUGGGAGUACCAUCAGUGGAAGAGGAAUAAAAAAUUAACCGCCAUUUGGAAGAAAACUAACCCUCAUGUGAUGUCGUACCCACCUUGACUACCUAGGGAAGCCACCUUGACCUUAUUGCAGCUACCGCCAAGUCAAACUGGGAGUAUGUUUUGGGAACAAGCUUUUUGGGGGACAUUCCAGCUCCUUUUCGUCCUGCCACCUGGGCCUACGGGGGGGCAUGGAGGUGCAUCAUAGUGAUGCUCAUUUUCUAGGAUGCAACCGCAACCUCGUUUGGGAACAUUUAGUGAGGAGUUUUAGUAACUAUUGGUUUUUUUUAUAUUUCAGACUAUCUGUUAAAUACACUAUGUUUUUUUUUCCAGAUUUAGGUUACCUCUGUUUUUUUUUGACAUAUGUAUUUGUAUAUUAGAUUAUUUGGUUCCCAAACUUUGUAUCUACGGUAACUUCUUGUGCACAGGAAUAAGCCUAGAGAAAAUUAGGUUUUUAAUACUUUAUUAUUGCUUUGAUAUUGGUUUAUGUAAUUCGGGUAAAUUUAUUUUGUAACAUUACUUGCUUGUUUCCCAAAUAUUGUAUUUAUUCGCUUUAUUUCGUUUGUUCGGUUACUUCGUCGUUACUUUAUUUCAUUGCAUUUGCUCGGUUAAUUUAGGUCAUUUUGUCGGUAUUUUUCUUAACUUCACUUCUAUAACGUUUAUUCAUUUGUAUAUUUAAUUUUGCUUUAUUCAGUAUUGUAUUUUCUCUUAGUGAGGCUUGGGCCUAUUUAUUUGUAUUAUUUUCAUCUUCGUCGGUUUCCUUUAGUUGUACGUAGCAGGCGUACUAUAACCAUUUGGUAGAAGACUUAUGUAAUUUUGUACCCUAUAUGUUAGUAAGAGGUACUUAUAUUUAAGUUUGUAACAGAUAACAUUAUUGUUGUUAUCUUUAAAAUAUAUAUAUCUUCUUGUAUAACUUAUGUCAUUUUAGAGUCACAGCAUAAUAUGAACUUGCUUAACUCAGAGAUUGUUAAAAAUCUGGUAGUUAUUUUUAAUAAAUAUGUUUAUUUAUUUUGUAUAUCAUUUAUUUUUAUUAUUCCUUUAUGUUCAUUAUUACAGGUUUGAUAUAUUUAAUAUCUGACAGCAGUAUAAGAUACCUGGGAGAAUGAUCGAAGAUCAUUUUCAUGGCGCCCAUGAUUUGUUAGAUUUAUUUAUCUUGUUCAUCUUUAGAAAUUAUUCAUCUUCAUUCCUCUUCAGUACAUUAUUCUUAUUUUAUUAUUUCAUAUUUUAGUCAUUAUUACUAUCUACAUAGAGCUACUGUUCUUCGACAGGCAUGCAAACGAGCCGUAUCCAUCCAUGAGUGUCAAGUGGUUUUCUUGCAUCUCUUGCUAGCCAACUCUAUUCAGUUUGCCUCUGUCUCUUCCCACGUCUACUUAUUAUCCCUUCUAAUUCCCCUUUCUUCAGUACUACUGCAAAGUAGUAUUUUUUAUUUUUCCUACUUCGGCUCAACCGCUGAAGCCCCUUCAUUUUUAUUUUCAUAAGAGGCCCCAACUAGUUACCUUAGUCUUUUCUUUUCUUCUUUUUUUUCCUUACUUCUGUUGGAGUAUAUCUUUCUUUUUACUUUCACUCCAACAGAAGUUUUCUUAUUUUUGUUACACUGGCUGCCCAAUACGUGGUGCCAACCGUUUUAUGGUUCUAAGACAGUAGUUCUUUUAGUUCAAUUUUCUUUUAUUGGAAUUUUCUGUUUUAUUAACUUUUUGAUAUCUUUGUAUACAUGUUACUUCUGAUUUAUUUUUGGUCUUUAAAACUUUACGAAUAUUAAACAGGUAGACUUAUACUGCUUUUGGUUUUGAUUAGUUUAUUUCGAUACCUCAUUUUUAGUUUUAGUGGUACAGCUCAUAUGUUAGUUUGGAUUUUGUAUUUUUAUUGGAAACUUAUUUAUGUAUUUAGAUUGAGUAUACAUAACUGACAUUAUGUUCUAUUAGUUAAAUUUUUAGUCCUUCUACCAAUGGUAGUAUGUUUGCACGUACAAUUAAUUAUUGACUAUAUGCAUAUAUUUUUUUUCUAGUAUGGUUAUAUUUUACACCUAACUAGAAAUUAUUUUCAGGAUUUAGGUACUUUAUUUACUUUAUUGAUUUGAUUAUUUAUAUAUUUUGCUGGCAUUUUGAUUUGUUGGUGUGUCGCUAAUAUUUUCUCCAUAUGUAUCUUUGUCUUACAAACUUUAGAUUAUAUUUUAUAUUUGUUAUUUUUGAUAUUUGGGUUGUUUGGUAAGACAGGCACACACCACAAAGCAAUAUCAGUCCAGAACAUUAGCUUCUAUACAUGAUACGUUGAAUUCGCAUGGUUCGGAUGAUUACAGAUGGUCAUCCAAAUUAUUUUUCUUUAAUUGGUAGUGUUAAACAUUACAAUGAUAAAUUGUAUAGUUAAGUAGUUCCACUAUCCAUCUCAUAUUCCAGUUUUGUUAAAUUUUGGUAAUAAUAUUAUAUCAGUGUGGGUACCAUAAUAUAAUGCUUAUAUGAAUCAGAUACUUUAGGUUGAGAUUCAAAUAUAAAUUCUUUAUUAGUUAGGAAACAUUGAUACUACUUUUCUAUUAAGUUAUAGAACAAUCUUCAGAAGAAGAUUACCUUAACAGUGUUGUUCAAGCUAAUCUCUUCUUCUGUUUGUCUUUAGCUUAGCUCAAUCUUUAGUAUGGUUAUAACUUUUAGUCCAAUAUUGUUUUUUUAUCAUAUGAUAAUGCAGGUACCCACAUAAACUGCUUGAUUUCAUCUUUGGCUUAGUUUUGAUGACAUUUAUUUAUUACUUAUUAAUUUAAUUAUUAUGUAGUACUUUAUGUAUGAGUUUAUUUUUUUUAUUAUUAGGUAUGGUGCAUUUUAAUUAUUAUUAUGAGUCAAUAUUAUUAAUUGUUGAUCCUGUCAGUAGGAUUACACAAUUGAUAAUAACUUCACUUGUAUUUUUGUUCAGUUUUUGCACACCUAACCCCUAAGUUAGUAAGGUUGUUAACUUAUUAUAUAUUUAUAUAGUUGGAUAGGUAAGCUCAUACAAGUACUCUUGUUUAAUAAUGGAUAUUAUGAUGGAACUAUGUUAACUACCAUAUCUCAGGUUACGUGUUAUAUUAUUUUGAAUAUUUGAUUACUUACUAAUGUUUUUAUUAUUUUUGAUAUAUUGUUAUUGAAUUUGCCAUAUUGGAAAGAUGUGGUUUUUAAUUUGUUAUUGGGUUACUCUAUUAACAUUAUUUGUCUCCAAUAUCUUAAACACUUAAUAAUUUAUAUCCUUCUAUCCUACACACUAUGAUUCUGGAAUUAGUUUGGAAUGUUGAUGUAAGUAUGUAUGAAUUCUUGAGUCUUUCACAUUUCUGCUUAUGAUUAGUCUGUCAAUACUCUGAUUUGUGAAUGCGUGGGUUCGAAGUUGUUGCUCAGCAACUGAUCACUGCUGUUUGACUGGCUUCGUAAUCUUUGUCUUUCAUGGCAGAGUAGGCAGACGUUUUACCAUUAUAAUAUUUCUUGUUAGGAAAUGACGGUCGCAUGUCCUAACCAUUCUUCUGUAAUUAGUCCAAGUAUUCCAGUUUUUUUUUUACAAUUUAAUAGGGAAGUAUUUAGUUCAUAUUAGGCCUUUUACUUCAUAGUAUGUUUGUACUUUGAGUUGAUGAGUAAACAUGGAUAAAUAUCUUGCGCACUUGUUUAUAAAUCAAUGCUUAGGCCAUCCCUAUACAUAGUAGGUUCGUUAAGUCAGUAUUUGGAGUGUUUAGACAGAUGAGUUGUUCAUUUGAGUAUAUUCCCACUUCUUUCCUUAGGCAUUAGUUUUGUUAUUUAGAUUUUUGAACAUUUCCUGAAUAAUUCCACGUAUGUGAGAGCGCAUGAAUCUGCAGUUUUAAUUAAAAUUGGUUGCCCGUUCUCGUCAAUUUUUUUUCCUAUCACCUAUCACAUAUUUUUUUUCCUAUCACUUAUCAUAGUGUCAUAAAACUUAUGAGUUCAUCAUUUAUUCUGUUUUCUUUCUUACUUAUUCUUAUAUUAGUACCUUAUCUGUGUCUGGUUAUUCUCAUACAUCUGUUGUAGCAACAUGCUAUAGUUCGCGAAUACCAGCAUGAAUUAAGUUAUGUAUUUUCUAGAAUACUUUAGUCAAUACACUUUAGGUAUUUAUCUUACCUUUGAUUUAGUUUGGUUACAUCUCUGUUACUUAGUCUGUUGGUAAUUUUUUUUUGUGACUUAUUUUGAUUACUUAGUUUGGAUAGGUUCAUAUUACCGGAUGAGGGUGUAUGUAGACCUAAUUUAUUUAUUUUGUUCAGUAUUAGUUACCAUUGGAUCCAAUAAUUUAGUUUAUUUAGUAUUAGUAAGAAUUGGUCCAUAAAUUUGCCUGAUCGUUCUUCUUUGGAUAUACUCCUAUAUAAAUCUGGUGUCCAUUGAUAGUCCGAUUCUGGAUAAGUGUCCGAUUCUUCAUUUAUUUUGUGUAUUUAGUUGGAUAGGUUCGUAUUACCGGAUGUGGGUGUACGUAGACCUGAUCUGUUAUGUGGUUUAGUAUUGGUGUGAAUUGGUCCAUAAAUUUGCCUGGUCGUUCUUCUUUGGAUAUGCCUUUUAUGAAUCUGGUGUCCACUGAUAGUUCGACUUUGGAUUAAGUGUCCGAUUCCACAUUUAUUUUGGUUAUUGAGUUUUGGAUUCCUUUGGUAUGUUUAUUAUUGGUAUUAUUUGACAUUAGUGAGAAUUGUUCCAUAAAUCUUCCUGAUUGUUCUUCUCUGGAUAUACUAUUAUGAAUCUGGUGUCCAUUGUUAGUUCAGUUUUGGAUAAAGUGUUCAAUUCUUUACCUAUUUUAGUUACUGAUUUUUUUUAUUCACUUUGGUACAUUUACUUUUGAUAUGGUUCGAAUUGGCUCACACCUUUUCCUGGUUGUUCCGUUCUUGGAUAUACCCUUUAUAAAUCUGAUGUCCAUGGAUAGUUCAAUUUUGGUUUUAGUGCCCAAUUCGACACUCAGUUAUUAUUAUGAACUUAAGUACAAUAUUUAGUUUUGUUUUGACUUUUGAGCAAUAUAUGUUAAUAUUUGGUAGCAGAGAGUAACAUAGUAACAUUUUAGUAUGAGUUUGAGUCAUGUAUUGAUUUAUUUUUCCUUGACCAUUAGUUUAUAUUUAGAAGUAAUCUUGCGAAUCAACGUGGAUUGUUAGACUAUUGUAAAUUUAGUUGUUAAUAUUUUGAAGUUUAAAAAAAAAAAAUUUUUUUUGGUUAAAAAAAUUUUUUUCCCGAGUAGGAGGGGAUUGUAACGGUCCACCCGUUAUAUUAUCAUUUUUAGCGCUGUAAUUAUUUUUAAAAAAAUAAUUAUUUUCUCUUGACCUCCCAUUUAAAUUCUUUAAUUUAUCGUAAAGGACUUCUCAUGUGACGUCACACUGUACGGAACAUAGUUGUUGAACCGUUCCUUGUCGUUUAAUUCGUGUUCCGUGAGAGUUUGACGUUUUCCUCGCUGACUGUGGGAGGAAUGAGAGGCACUUGGCCGGUGGCUGCGAGGUUGACAGGUUGGUGUUGGUGGUUAGUACCGUAAAUGGCGGUUAAUUUCUUCGAAAUUAAUUUUUAUUUCAACUAAGUUUGGAAGUAUAGUAAAAAGUUACCACCACUUGUUUCCUGGAGUACGUGUUUCCUGGAGUAAGGAUGGGAGUACCAUCAGUGGAAGAGGAAUAAAAAAUUAACCGCCAUUUGGAAGAAAACUAACCCUCAUGUGAUGUCGUACCCACCUUGACUACCUAGGGAAGCCACCUUGACCUUAUUGCAGCUACCGCCAAGUCAAACUGGGAGUAUGUUUUGGGAACAAGCUUUUUGGGGGACAUUCCAGCUCCUUUUCGUCCUGCCACCUGGGCCUACGGGGGGGCAUGGAGGUGCAUCAUAGUGAUGCUCAUUUUCUAGGAUGCAACCGCAACCUCGUUUGGGAACAUUUAGUGAGGAGUUUUAGUAACUAUUGGUUUUUUUUAUAUUUCAGACUAUCUGUUAAAUACACUAUGUUUUUUUUUCCAGAUUUAGGUUACCUCUGUUUUUUUUUGACAUAUGUAUUUGUAUAUUAGAUUAUUUGGUUCCCAAACUUUGUAUCUACGGUAACUUCUUGUGCACAGGAAUAAGCCUAGAGAAAAUUAGGUUUUUAAUACUUUAUUAUUGCUUUGAUAUUGGUUUAUGUAAUUCGGGUAAAUUUAUUUUGUAACAUUACUUGCUUGUUUCCCAAAUAUUGUAUUUAUUCGCUUUAUUUCGUUUGUUCGGUUACUUCGUCGUUACUUUAUUUCAUUGCAUUUGCUCGGUUAAUUUAGGUCAUUUUGUCGGUAUUUUUCUUAACUUCACUUCUAUAACGUUUAUUCAUUUGUAUAUUUAAUUUUGCUUUAUUCAGUAUUGUAUUUUCUCUUAGUGAGGCUUGGGCCUAUUUAUUUGUAUUAUUUUCAUCUUCGUCGGUUUCCUUUAGUUGUACGUAGCAGGCGUACUAUAACCAUUUGGUAGAAGACUUAUGUAAUUUUGUACCCUAUAUGUUAGUAAGAGGUACUUAUAUUUAAGUUUGUAACAGAUAACAUUAUUGUUGUUAUCUUUAAAAUAUAUAUAUCUUCUUGUAUAACUUAUGUCAUUUUAGAGUCACAGCAUAAUAUGAACUUGCUUAACUCAGAGAUUGUUAAAAAUCUGGUAGUUAUUUUUAAUAAAUAUGUUUAUUUAUUUUGUAUAUCAUUUAUUUUUAUUAUUCCUUUAUGUUCAUUAUUACAGGUUUGAUAUAUUUAAUAUCUGACAGCAGUAUAAGAUACCUGGGAGAAUGAUCGAAGAUCAUUUUCAUGGCGCCCAUGAUUUGUUAGAUUUAUUUAUCUUGUUCAUCUUUAGAAAUUAUUCAUCUUCAUUCCUCUUCAGUACAUUAUUCUUAUUUUAUUAUUUCAUAUUUUAGUCAUUAUUACUAUCUACAUAGAGCUACUGUUCUUCGACAGGCAUGCAAACGAGCCGUAUCCAUCCAUGAGUGUCAAGUGGUUUUCUUGCAUCUCUU